rnacentral:rRNA from 1 species
CUACGGGCCGCACCAGUGGGGAAUAUUGCACAAUGGGCGAAAGCCUGAUGCAGCAACGCCGCGUGGAGGAUGACACAUUUCGGUGCGUAAACUCCUUUUAUAUAAGAAGAUAAUGACGGUAUUAUAUGAAUAAGCACCGGCUAACUCCGUGCCAGCAGCCGCGGUAAUACGGGGGGUGCAAGCGUUACUCGGAAUCACUGGGCGUAAAGAGCAUGUGGGCUGGAUGACAAGUUGGAAGUGAAAUCCUAUGGCUUAACCAUAGAACUGCUUCCAAAACUGUCUUCCUAGAGUAUGGGAGAGGUAGAUGGAAUUUCUGGUGUAGGGGUAAAAUCCGUAGAGAUCAGAAGGAAUACCGAUUGCGAAGGCGAUCUACUGGAACAUUACUGACGCUCAGAUGCGAAAGCGUGGGGAGCAAACAGGAUUAGAUACCCCAGUAGUC